CAGUAGUCACCCGGGGCGCCGCAAGGCCUCCCGGGUAACCUACCACCCUUUGUUUAUUACACUUUGUUGCUUUGGCAGGCCUGCCCUCGGGCUGCUGGCUCCGGCCGGCGAGCGCUUGCCAGAGGCCCGAUUAAUUCUGAUUGUCAGUGUCGUCUGAGUACUAUAUAAUAGUUA
rnacentral:misc_RNA from 1 species